AGAGUUUGAUCAUGGCUCAGAUUGAACGCUGGCGGCAGGCCUAACACAUGCAAGUCGAACGGUAACAGGAAACAGCUUGCUGUUUCGCUGACGAGUGGCGGACGGGUGAGUAAUGUCUGGGAAACUGCCUGAUGGAGGGGGAUAACUACUGGAAACGGUAGCUAAUACCGCAUAACGUCGCACGACCAAAGAGGGGGACCUUCGGGCCUCUUGCCAUCAGAUGUGCCCAGAUGGGAUUAGCUAGUAGGUGGGGUAACGGCUCACCUAGGCGACGAUCCCUAGCUGGUCUGAGAGGAUGACCAGCCACACUGGAACUGAGACACGGUCCAGACUCCUACGGGAGGCAGCAGUGGGGAAUAUUGCACAAUGGGCGCAAGCCUGAUGCAGCCAUGCCGCGUGUAUGAAGAAGGCCUUCGGGUUGUAAAGUACUUUCAGCGGGGAGGAAGGGAGUAAAGUUAAUACCUUUGCUCAUUGACGUUACCCGCAGAAGAAGCACCGGCUAACUCCGUGCCAGCAGCCGCGGUAAUACGGAGGGUGCAAGCGUUAAUCGGAAUUACUGGGCGUAAAGCGCACGCAGGCGGUUUGUUAAGUCAGAUGUGAAAUCCCCGGGCUCAACCUGGGAACUGCAUCUGAUACUGGCAAGCUUGAGUCUCGUAGAGGGGGGUAGAAUUCCAGGUGUAGCGGUGAAAUGCGUAGAGAUCUGGAGGAAUACCGGUGGCGAAGGCGGCCCCCUGGACGAAGACUGACGCUCAGGUGCGAAAGCGUGGGGAGCAAACAGGAUUAGAUACCCUGGUAGUCCACGCCGUAAACGAUGUCGACUUGGAGGUUGUGCCCUUGAGGCGUGGCUUCCGGAGCUAACGCGUUAAGUCGACCGCCUGGGGAGUACGGCCGCAAGGUUAAAACUCAAAUGAAUUGACGGGGGCCCGCACAAGCGGUGGAGCAUGUGGUUUAAUUCGAUGCAACGCGAAGAACCUUACCUGGUCUUGACAUCCACGGAAGUUUUCAGAGAUGAGAAUGUGCCUUCGGGAACCGUGAGACAGGUGCUGCAUGGCUGUCGUCAGCUCGUGUUGUGAAAUGUUGGGUUAAGUCCCGCAACGAGCGCAACCCUUAUCCUUUGUUGCCAGCGGUCCGGCCGGGAACUCAAAGGAGACUGCCAGUGAUAAACUGGAGGAAGGUGGGGAUGACGUCAAGUCAUCAUGCCCCUUACGACCAGGGCUACACACGUGCUACAAUGGCGCAUACAAAGAGAAGCGACCUCGCGAGAGCAAGCGGACCUCAUAAAGUGCGUCGUAGUCCGGAUUGGAGUCUGCAACUCGACUCCAUGAAGUCGGAAUCGCUAGUAAUCGUGGAUCAGAAUGCCACGGUGAAUACGUUCCCGGGCCUUGUACACACCGCCCGUCACACCAUGGGAGUGGGUUGCAAAAGAAGUAGGUAGCUUAACCUUCGGGAGGGCGCUUACCACUUUGUGAUUCAUGACUGGGGUGAAGUCGGAACAAGGUAACCGUAGGGGAACCUGCGGUUG
rnacentral:rRNA from 1 species